rnacentral:rRNA from 1 species
GGGGGAAUAUUGGACAAUGGGCGAAAGCCUGAUCCAGCCAUGCCGCGUGAGUGAAGAAGGUCUUCGGAUUGUAAAGCACUUUAAGUGGGGAGGAAGGGCAGUAAGCGAAUACCUUGCUGUUUUGACGUUACCGACAGAAUAAGCACCGGCUAACUCUGUGCCAGCAGCCGCGGUAAUACAGAGGGUGCAAGCGUUAAUCGGAAUUACUGGGCGUAAAGCGCGCGUAGGUGGUUCGUUAAGUUGAAUGUGAAAGCCCCGGGCUCAACCUGGGAACUGCAUCCAAAACUGGCGAGCUAGGGUAGGGCAGAGGGUGGUGGAAUUUCCUGUGUAGCGGUGAAAUGCGUAGAUAUAGGAAGGAACACCAGUGGCGAAGGCGACCACCUGGGCUCAUACUGACACUGAGGUGCGAAAGCGUGGGGAGCAAACAGG